UGGUGUGGUGCGUCCCACCCUGACCGUCCUCCCCCCCUCCAGAGAGGAGCUGCAGAAGGACAGUGCCACACUGGUGUGUCUGGCCAGCGGGGGCUUCCCCUCAACCUGGAGUCUGGGCUGGAAGGUGGGGGGCAGCAGCAGCUCCUCAGGGGUGUCACACAGCCUGGAGGUCCUGGGGAGGGACGGCCACUACAGCUGGAGCAGCACCCUGAGGCUCUCUGCAGACCAGUGGAGGAAGGUGGGCUCUGUGACCUGUGAGGCCAGUCUGAGUGGACAGAGCCCUGUCACUCAAACCCUGGACCCUGACCGCUGCUCAGAGUAGAG